GGCCCCAUCGUCUAGCGGCCCAGGACUCCGCCCUUUCACGGCGGCAGCGCGGGUUCGAAUCCCGCUGGGGUCACGA
rnacentral:tRNA from 1 species